UAAGCUUGAACUGUCAGUGGUCUUGUGAUCCGUUAAGAAAUUUUGAAUCGAAUCACAGCCAACUGGUGGUUCAGCUUGC
rfam:Onchocerca ochengi, WGS project CAWC01000000 data, contig: 08639_11253